rnacentral:lncRNA from 1 species
GGCUUUCUCCUGAGCCGUCGGAGGGAGCCGGAGCGCUCCUCUUGAGUUGGUGAUCGACCAUUUGUGGUCCAGCAUGCACAAGUGAGUGGUGAAAGGCUGCAGAGCUGAUGGGUCGUGAGGAUGUAAGUGCGUUUGAAGGCUCUCACACUCUCUACUCCAGGGUAAGUUACAGGCCUUCUCUGCCAUUGUUGCUCUGGUUUUACUCUUAUCUUAAUGGUCUUUUGGAGUCCAUGCAAUUUGUGUGCCCUGUCUGAAAGUUCCCAAAGCCUUUAAUGAUUCAGCUCAUAGAUGCUAUUCAGAUUAGUACUUACAAAGAUAAAACCGUGGUCAGGGUAAUGGGAAGGAAUCAGUAUGUGUAAAUAUCUCAACACAAUAAUUUCACUUAGUGACUUUGUAUGAGAUGUGAUUUACAUGGGGGCUGUGGGGAGGAUGUUGGACCUUCCUGAGAUACACUGCAGAGCAUCCUCUCUCUCAGCACCCUCCCCCUCCAUGGAUCACUUUGCAUAACUUUUCCUGCAUUAAUUACCUUUUUUUCAGGUGUUGGGGGGGGGAACAGCUUGCCAGAGAGUUGAUGAUUCCCAGUUUCACAGAUGAUAUAGCUAAGUACUAGCAAAGUUUUGCCCAGUGUCACUGGGAGUCACUUGUACCCGCUCCCCCACCUCUCUGCAGUCCCUAGUGCAAUGGUGGUGGGCACUGGGAGUAUUUUAAUGAAAGCUGGCUUUAUUUAUUUAUUUUUAUUUUAAAAAGUUUUUUUAGGGCCGUUCCUGAGGCAUAUGGAAGUUCCCAGGCUAGGAAUGAAUCUGAGCUGCAGCUGCCAGCCUGUACCACAGCCACAGCAACGCUAUAUCCAAGCCGUGGCGGUGUCUUACACCACAGCUCUUGGCAAGACUGGAAGGCUGGACCCUUAACCCACUGAGCAGGGUCAAGUAUUAAACCCAUAUCCUCAUAGGUAAUAGUCGGGUUUGUUAUUGCUAAGUCACAAUGGGAACUCCACCAAAGUUGGCUUUAGAUUUUAAUUUCUUCUAGAGCUUAAACUAAAACCAGAUUCAUUGAAGAGAAAAUUAUAAUUAAUAAAAAUCUAAGCAGAGCUAAGGAUGGUUAGAAAAGAGGGAAAAAGGAAGUUAUUUUUUAAAAAAGUACUCACCUGAAAAACUGGAUAGAUGGUUGUUUUAAGCAUUUCAGUUCAAUAGUGUGGAGCCCUUGCUAGAUAAUGUCCCAUUACCCAGGCUCAGACAGAGGGCACCCAGAAAGGCUGAUGUUCUUCAAUGCCUCAUAUGGAUCAGUAAGGAGCGAGUACAAUUUACUAAAUGAAAUAGACAAUUAAGGGCUAUAAAUCUCUGGAGAUUCCCGUAAGCAUACAUUGUUACUGCAUUGGGGGGAUGCACGUGCUUAGAGAUAAGCAAAGCAGAGGCAGUAGCUGCAAGGCUUGUCACAAAAUGAAGAGUCCAGGGGAACAGCCAGAUGCAGACCCCUGCCUAGUGCCUGGGGGUCACUAAGGAAAGGAUUUGGUCUUUGCUAAGCUUUCUCCUUAAAGGAAGGGAGCUAGAUGUUGCCAGCUUUCCUCAUUUUCUUCUGUGGCUCCCAUUUAUUUUCUAUUCUAAAAGUAACUAAAAAGUAUAACAUGCCAGAAAUAGCACUCAACUGGCAUGUUUCUGUUUAAAUACCAUUCAAUGAUCAAAUUAUAGAGGAACCCAUUCUUUAACUAGUGAUUAGAGGGCAAAGAAAGUAAUGCUAGAGAUGCCAGAGGAUCAGGGAUCCUUAUCCUCAGCACCAUUAACAUGCCAAGCCUGGUGAUUCUUUAUUGUGGGCUGUUCACACAUUGUAGCACAUCUUUGGCCUCUACCAGCUAGAUACUCCCCUUCCCCCACCCCAGAAUCGUGAUAAUCAAAAUGUCUCCAGAUACUGCCACUUGUUCCCUGGCCGGUGGGGGGCGGAAUUCUGGUUGAGAAGCACUGCUGGUGGCAUACAGUGAUUUAAUCUUGCUCUGAAUUUCUCUGGGACUGUUUCAAUCAUUAGCCUCCUUUUGCUACAAUUUCCCUACCUGUAAAAUAGACACAGCAUUUGUAACUCAGUAGCCUAAGGAGGUACAUAGUAUUGUGUGACUAUUUGGGAGCUCAUAAUGCCAAUACCUAUAUCCUAGUCUUGUGAAGACAGAGGCUGAGGAGCAGGGGAGUUGGAAGGGUGUGAGAAAUGCGGAAUGGUGUUGGAUUCUGAUUUUACUAGAAGGCUUCCAAUUCUAGUUCAUUUCAACAAUAUACUCUUGAACGAAGGCUUGUGGGGGAGGAUUAAGAAAGGGGACAAUAAAGGAGGGAAAAAGAGGCUAUUUAGAAGAGCAGUCAAGGAGAUUGCUUUUGAUCUGGAGGUGGGGGGUGAUCUCUUAUCGUUAAAGUGAUUUAUGUGUAAUUAGACCAAAGGACAUAAAGAAGUAACCCCCUUGCUCCAAAGAAAAAUAUUCUCCCAAAUGACUACUGAUCCUAGAACAGAUUUUUCAGGUAAUACAACAAAGACUGGAGAGUGUUGGAGAAAUCUGUUUUUAUUCUAGAACAUUUACAUUUCUGCUGCUUCUCUUCUUUGGCUUAUCAAAAAAGGUCAUCUUCAAUCCAUGCCUUUUGAUACAUACAAUGUUUGAGUAUGACACAUGCUCUUCUGAUACUCUUCUAGAACUCUGUAUUGGAAUGCUGAAAAAGGCCUAUCACCCUGACCCAGGCCUGAGGUGAUCACACUAUUUUACUAAGGCAGGGCAAGUGCAGGGAUUAGAUGUAAAUUGUCUUGGUAGGUUUGAAUUCAGCCUUGCUGUGUUUCUGGUCCCUGUAAUUAUUAGACAUACUCACAAAAUUUACAACAAUGCUACCUUGUUGACGCAGACUCAGUGGGUCCAACAUCAGAGGAAAUUCUGUUGGACAGCACUGCUUUAGUCUGUCAGGACCCUGUUUGUUAGAAACCCACCCUUGGAGUGCCAGCAUGUGUUUGUUAUGAAAGGACCUCACCUCAUUUAAAGCAGGAUUGUGUUUUGGACUUCUCCAUCCUAGGGGGCUUUUCAGUCUGUGAGUGGAUCUUGCUGAACUUUUUACCUUGCUGCGGCAUCUGUCUGUUAAAGAAAUUGCCAUGGGCCUGUGUUUCUGACAUAACUGAGUUCACUGUCUCUAAAAUAUUUGCUCUUUAAUCCAAGGCUGCUGAACCGUCUCUUUCCAUUUGGUCUCUCCAUGCCCUAACCCUCAGUGGCAAAGCUUGUUUGUGCAGGAUGUCUCUUUUGAUACUGCCUAGAGCUUCAGCGUCUGGGAGAGGUGGUGAGAGAGUUUUCACCUCCUCUUCUUUCAAGCCCC